rnacentral:rRNA from 1 species
UACGGAGGGAGCUAGCGUUGUUCGGAAUUACUGGGCGUAAAGCGUACGUAGGCGGCUUUGUAAGUUAGAGGUGAAAGCCCGGGGCUCAACUCCGGAAUUGCCUUUAAGACUGCAUCGCUUGAAUCAUGGAGAGGUGAGUGGAAUUCCGAGUGUAGAGGUGAAAUUCGUAGAUAUUCGGAAGAACACCAGUGGCGAAGGCGACUCACUGGACAUGUAUUGACGCUGAGGUACGAAAGCGUGGGGAGCAAACAGG